UACGUAGGGUGCGAGCGUUGUCCGGAAUUAUUGGGCGUAAAGAGCUCGUAGGCGGUCUGUCGCGUCUGCUGUGAAAACCCGAGGCUCAACCUCGGGCCUGCAGUGGGUACGGGCAGACUAGAGUCCGGUAGGGGAGUGUGGAACUCCUGGUGUAGCGGUGAAAUGCGCAGAGUAUCAGGAAGAACACCAGCGGCGAAGGCGGCACUCUGGGCCGGUACUGACGCUGAGGAGCGA
rnacentral:rRNA from 1 species